GGCGGCGUGCUUAACACAUGCAAGUCGAGCGGAAAGGCCCUUCGGGGUACUCGAGCGGCGAACGGGUGAGUAACACGUGAGCAACCUGCCCCUGACUCUGGGAUAAGCCCGGGAAACUGGGUCUAAUACCGGAUAUGACCACCGUCCGCAUGGGCUGGUGGUGGAAAGUUCUUCGGUUGGGGAUGGGCUCGCGGCCUAUCAGCUUGUUGGUGGGGUAGUGGCCUACCAAGGCGACGACGGGUAGCCGGCCUGAGAGGGCGACCGGCCACACUGGGACUGAGACACGGCCCAGGGGGCCUACGGGAGGCAGCAGUGGGGAAUAUUGCGCAAUGGGCGAAAGCCUGACGCAGCGACGCCGCGUGGGGGAUGACGGCCUUCGGGUUGUAAACCUCUUUCAGCAGGGACGAAGUUGACGUGUACCUGCAGAAGAAGCGCCGGCUAACUACGUGCCAGCAGCCGCGGUAAUACGUAGGGCGCAAGCGUUGUCCGGAAUUAUUGGGCGUAAAGAGCUCGUAGGUGGCUGGUCGCGUCUGCCGUGAAAGCCCGCAGCUUAACUGCGGGUCUGCGGUGGAUACGGGCCGGCUAGAGGUAGGCAGGGGCAAGUGGAAAUUCCUGGUGUAGCGGUGAAAUGCGCAGAUAUCAGGAGGAACACCCGGUGGCGAAGGCGGCUUGCUGGGCCUUACCUGACGCUGAGGAGCGAAAGCGUGGGGAGCGAACAGGAUUAGAUACCCUGGUAGUCCACGCUGUAAACGUUGGGCGCUAGAUGUGAGGGUCUUCCACGACUUCCGUGCCGGAGCUAACGCAUUAAGCGCCCCGCCUGGGGAGUACGGCCGCAAGGCUAAAACUCAAAGGAAUUGACGGGGGCCCGCACAAGCGGCGGAGCAUGUUGCUUAAUUCGACGCAACGCGAAGAACCUUACCAAGGUUUGACAUCACCCGGAAAGCUGCAGAGAUGUGGCCCUCUUCGGACUGGGUGACAGGUGGUGCAUGGCUGUCGUCAGCUCGUGUCGUGAGAUGUUGGGUUAAGUCCCGCAACGAGCGCAACCCUUGCUCCAUGUUGCCAGCAGCGGAUUCGUCCGGCUGGGGACUCAUGGGGGACUGCCGGGGUCAACUCGGAGGAAGGUGGGGAUGACGUCAAGUCAUCAUGCCCCUUAUGUCUUGGGCUGCAAACAUGCUACAAUGGCCGGUACAGAGGGUUGCGAUACCGUGAGGUGGAGCGAAUCCCUAAAAGCCGGUCUCAGUUCGGAUUGGGGUCUGCAACUCGACCCCAUGAAGUCGGAGUCGCUAGUAAUCGCAGAUCAGCAAUGCUGCGGUGAAUACGUUCCCGG
rnacentral:rRNA from 1 species